UUCAGUCGGCUGUGACUGGUUGGUCCUCGUCACAUGAAAUUCACACUACUGCAUUCCAAGGCUGAGGCUACAAUAUUAUUACAAAGUGGAUCGUUUUGUUGUUGAUUUUGUUUUUAUUAUUUUUUCAAACAAGCUGUGGAUUUUGUAACUAUCAACACUCUGGAGUUAACUGUUAUUGUAAAUGUUUGGAUCACAUCAGCUGUGCCGGACAGAGCUGCACAGUGGGAAGAAGGCAGAAGAAAACAGACAGCAGAACAGUCCUCAGCGAUUUGGAGCAGAGAGGAGCUUUUCCCAAGUCUGUCACCUGACAGUGGAAGACUAGUCAGACUGAGACAGUGACAGUUUGAGGUCAAAGCGUGUUUCCACUCGGCUCAGCGGCCAGGCAACUGGAGAGCUACAACAAGCCCAGAGGAACGGCUCAUGAAUGGCAGGGGUCUUUGCUGCUGCUCUCCCUGCCUCAGGCUUUCCAUGUAGGCGCAUGGAAGGGCAGGGAGGUUUGCUCUCUCUGCCUCAGGCUUUCCUCCUAUAUGUGUGGAAGGGCAGGGAGGUGUGAGAAGAAGAGAGGCCCCAGAGCAGAGCCAUAAUGCCAAAUAUGAUACUGCAAUGGAAAUAAUUUUCUCUGACCCAAGUGCUCCUGACUGAACUACGUUUGUUAUGUAAUACCAAAGAUACUCUAUAACGGAAGAUAACGUGUUACAAGCUAUGCUAAUGGUACCAAAUGAUGUACACUUCCGGUGUCAUAAGUUGGUGUGGUCAUCUCUCCCCUACAUACUCCUACCUUGUUGGGGUGGAUGAAAUCAGAUUCAAACAACACAUACAGUUCAACUGUUCAACACAUACAGAUAUAUAGUUCAAAUUUAAUGUUUGCUCCUUAUUUUGUCACAAGUUUUUAUCUGCUAGCUUAAUAUCUGAUGACAACUGAGUGUAAGAUCACAUCAGUUGUUGCCAGAUCUCGCCAGAGUCUAUUGCUAAAACAAAGACAUGCCUCGAAAAAAGUUAAUUUUUUCCUCAUUUGUCUGUCAGAAAAAAUGCCAUUCCAUUGUCAGAUUGUUUAGAAGGAUUGGGGCUUUUGAAAAAUGGGUUGAGUAUUUACUUCAGUGACCAUGGGGCAAAGGAAACACUCAUAAUCUGUACUCUAGUUCACUUUUUACCAUUGGAAUGAAUGGACUCAUUACCACCGCUAGUCUCGUAAAGGGGCGGGGUGGGGGCGAAACCCACGUGACAUGGAUACAGGGAAUGAAUCUACAGUGGGCCAUUUUGGAAUAUCAAUGGCCUCUGGUAGCAUGUUGUAAAGUGACACAAGUACGUCACGAUCAUAUCAUCUUCCUAAAGUUGAGAUACAGAACAAAGAAUAAGCAGCCUAGUCACAAUCAUUGUACAUUUCCGGACACAACAAAUACAUUACAUUUUUACAUUUCAUAUGUAUUAUAUCAAUGUUUCUAAAGUGCCACAGUAUAUGAGCUGACUUUGUGAUCAGAAGGUGGGGGGCAGUAAAUUGCUUGUCAGUUUUUCAUCAAGUUAUUGCUGCAUUUCAAGCACCUUUUUAGCCACCAAACGUGGCUAAUUUCCACUGGGGAUAGUUCCACGUAAAGCAGUUAUUUUUUAUAAAGACGCCACUGUAUUUCCAAUGAAAAUAGUGCUGCUGAAAGUGGGUUUUUUUUUUUACAGAGCAAUCACUGCAUUUCCUGCAAGGAUUGUGCCUCAAAAAGCUGGAUUUGGAAAUAAAAGGUGGAAAUAGAGGUCAAUGAUUUAAGGUUCUUAAAAUACUCUUAGAUCCACAGCUAAAAUUUGAUCAACAUGGAAAGAAUCUCAAAAACAAUUAAGACCGACCUUUAUUGUUUCAACUUAAUCAGGCACUGCAUUCUCACUCAAGCAGCUUAGUCAUACUGUAUGACAGUAUGGGCUGAAGCAUCACAAUCUACAGUCAGACAUCUUACAUCCUUAUAGAAUCAGGUACUGGAAAUAAUGGAUAAAAAGCCUGUCUGGUGGUAUCAAUGUCACAGAGUUAAACAAUACAAUCAUUCAGCUUUGAAAGCUUUACUUAUCUUUGUUUUCUUAAAUUAGUUUUCAAAUAUAUUAACAGUCUAGCCCCAGAGCCUCUUUCUAGAUGAGACAGUAGCAGAAUAACUGGUAGCAUGAUGGAUGGCAACUGUAAAAUACCACAUUGCAAAUCUAAAUCAAUCAGCUCUCUCCAUAAAGGGCUGUCAAGACUGGAACACAUUACCAACUGAAAUCAAAUUAACCGCAGAUAUAAAAUCUUUUACAACAAAGGUCACAUGCUGGUUAAAGCAAACCACAGCUGUACCAAUUUUUAGCUAAUUGCGCUGUAAAUUACCUAGGUGUAUUGGUGUAUGUGUAUUGUGUGAUGUGUAUUUUAUUGUAUUUCCAUAUUUGUGGUGUAAUGUGGUUUUAUGGUAUAAAGCUGUGUAUUUUAAUCCCACUGUACAUGUAAAAGCAUAAAUAGGGAUAGCAGCUGAAAAUGAGCAAAAGCUAAACUGUCUGUGCAGCACAUCAGUGUCAUGCUUUGUAUUGAAACUAUGUUAAAGGGGCUCUGUGUGAAAUUCAGAGAGUAUGAGUUGUCUGCACACAGUUCUCAGCACGGAGGUGGCUACCUGGGGGCUAGCAGUUAACAGUGCUAACUGCAAAAACAGCACUAACCAUUGACAACAGUGUUAAUGGUGCUAACCAGGAGAGAAACACCGUUUGCUCAGUGUUAACUGGGGGCAAACACCAUUAGUUGCCAGUAGUGGCUGAGCCGACGGCUAGCAGCUAACUGUGCUAACUCCAUAAACAGUGUUAAACAAUGGCAACAGUGCUGACAGAGCUAAUGGUUUUAACAAUGGAGGAGACACCAAUAACUGCUAGCAGUAGCUGAGCUGACAGCUAAUACCUAACUGUGCUAACUCCAUAAACAGUGCUAAACAACAGUAACAGUGCUGACACAGCUAACAGUGUUAAUGAGGGGGGAAAUGCUGUUAGAGGCUAGUGAGGGCUGAGGUGACGGCUAGCAACUAACCGUGCUAACAAUAACACUAAACAACAGCAACAGUGCUGACAGAGCUAACAAUCUUUACUAAGGGGCAACCUAAGGGUAGGUGCUACACUUUCCAGCUGCUACCGCUGUCACCACAGAUGAGCUAGCCAAUGAGAUACACAUGCACUAACACGCACACUUCGCCAGAUCAGCUUACCACAGCAAACUACAGAGAACCUCGGAUUAUAACACACACAGAGGGAGUGUGAUUCUCUGCUCAGGAUGCCAUUACUCCACUUUAUCUUUACAUAGCAAACAGUGAUUUGCUGCUAUAUUAAUACUCUGAAUGUCACAAACAGAACCUUUAAAUUGCAUUGUCCCUGUCAAAUAAAGAAAACAGACAAUGUUCUGUAUGUACUAGUUCCAGCAACAAUACAACAGUUUCAUGAAAACACAGUAGGAACAUAGUUAUAAGGGAUACGGUUUGUAGAAAUUGUAGUACAUUUGGUAGUUUGACAUCGCUUUAAUUGAUAUUAUAUAGCCAAUAGAGACUUCAGAAUAUGGAGGUCCAGUGUUAAACAGCUAACAGUUGCGGUCUGGCAGUUGGAUCUCCUUAACUCAAAGAACAAGACUGACUAACGUAAAUGAACUAUUAUCUUUAAGAAAUCACUACUCUUGCGGGGGAUGUCCUGGAGCCAAGUGGUCUUAGACCUAUGUAGGGCAACUGCAAUGUCCCUGUUCUGAUACACCAGGUGACCUUCAGAUAAUUGGAAAAAGAAAAUCUGAAUUCAUGAAUUUAACCGUUUACUUCCACUACUUUUAUGUGAAUAUUGGGAGUUGGGUGCAUUAAGAUAAACAGCUGUUGCUAAUUCUCCACUCUGAAUUCAUUAAACCAAUGAAGAAGAGGACACAAUGAGAUAAUGUAAAAAAAAAAAAAAAAAAAAAAAAGAGCUCCAGACAAUUCUGAAACCAAUGAAAAUGAUGUGAAAACAUAAUGGCAAUAUGACGAUUCUGUUUCAUGUACUAAUUUAAGGAAGUUUAAAGUCUUCUGAUCUGAUGUCUUUGUUUUUAUCUCUUUAGCGAAGCAAAAGCUUCAAUUUAAUUAACAUGCUUAUGUCCAUCGUUAUUUAUUCACUAAGCAUGUUCCCAUUGCA